rnacentral:rRNA from 1 species
UACGGAGGGGCUAGCGUUGUUCGGAAUUACUGGGCGUAAAGCGCGCGUAGGCGGCUUUGUAAGUUAGAGGUGAAAGCCCGGAGCUCAACUCCGGAACUGCCUUUAAGACUGCAUCGCUAGAACGAUGGAGAGGUAAGUGGAAUUCCGAGUGUAGAGGUGAAAUUCGUAGAUAUUCGGAAGAACACCAGUGGCGAAGGCGGCUCUCUGGGACGGUACUGACGCUGAGACGCGAAAGCGUGGGAGCGAACAGG